GACGUAGGGCGCAAGCGUUGUCCGGAUUUAUUGGGCGUAAAGAGCUCGUAGGCGGUGUGUCACGUCGGCCGUGAAAACCUGCAGCUUAACUGUGGGCGUGCGGUCGAUACGGGCAUCACUGGAGUGCGGCAGGGGAGACUGGAAUUCCUGGUGUAGCGGUGAAAUGCGCAGAUAUCAGGAGGAACACCGGUGGCGAAGGCGGGUCUCUGGGCCGAUACUGACGCUGAGGAGCGAAAGCGUGGGGAGCAAACAGG
rnacentral:rRNA from 1 species